rnacentral:lncRNA from 1 species
UUUCUUCCUUUAUUUUGCCUACAUGCCUACUACUAAGUCCAUAUUAAUGGCAAUAUUAAGUGUCAAAGCAUUCUGCUUUGUACCAAAGAUCUCUGAAUGAGGCUACUGUUUAUUGUAUUCUUUGUUGGGUGAAAGGUUAAAAAAAAGUGCAUGUAUUUUCUUUUCUGCAGUUCAUUCAGGUUUUAAUAUAGAGCAGAGCAAAAUACAAUGAAGAGAAUUGUACAUAAUAGUCUUGGCUUCUUGAAGAUACUAAGCUUCCCAUGAGUUAAGAGUAGACCUUCCGAAGCCUUGACUUACACACCUCGUAGAUUUUGGUCGUAUUGAAGCCUUUGCGACAUUGGUAUGUGGGGAGAUUUGAGCCUUGGCUUGUCUAGAGAUAAUUACCAGAGCUUGGUUGCUGAAUUACAAAUCCUUCUUACCUAACAGUCACACAGUAGCAGCUUCCAUAGCAGAGUAACAUAUUCCACGGUGGGUGCCAGGGAGGGCAAAGGGAAUGUGUUCUCCUGUGGUGGAUCAACCCACCUCUUUGAGACUGGCUGGAAGCAGAAGUUGAAACUUGCCGCUGAUUACCUCCUGCUUGACGCGUUGUUUCUGAGAGGGAUACGAGCUGUUUUGGACGCAGGCCUGACACAGGCUUGUGAGACGGUGUGCAGCCAUCAUGAGCCCUGGAGCCGAGAGGCGGCUGAGGUUGGGUGCAGUUCCCUACUGUCCAGCGUUCUCUCUGUUCCCUAUCCUGUCUUGCAGAGAUGAGGUGGAGGCAUUACAAAGGGAGAAAUUUUACUGUUUGUGGUCAAACAGUAUUCAGGAUGUCAUUACCAGUUUCACCUAAGUCUUCUUUCCAAAAUGCUAUUAUAUAAUUUCUCUGCAGAAAUUCCGCUUAACACCCAGCCUUCCAGACUUUGCUGUCGCACUUGUUUUAAACCUUGUCUUUGUACUAAUUACACAGCAAUGACGGAGAAUUACUUUUUCCCUUAAAAAUAAAACUGCCCCAAAUUUCAGUUGUUAACUUUCAUUUUAACCCCCUCCUUCCUAUUUCCCUUCUCUGUAGUCAGAAUUCCAUAUGCACUUUACAUUGUCAUUUGUUACUUUUCUCUUAUUUAUCAAAGUGUCUCCCACAAUUGUACUUCCUAUUACUAGGCUUUAGAGAAUGAAGACAUUUUAAAAUAAUGCAAAUAAUCAAAAUUUCCAAUGAUUAAAUGGCAGUAAAAACACUGCAAAGAAUUUUCCCUUGAAGAAGUUUUUUGAAAAGCUAAUCUUUCACCGAAAGACUCAGAAAGUAUUUGGUAAACCUGUCUGUAAAAUAGUUUUUUGUGAUAUUUUUUCUUCAUGAUAGUAAGAAAAACAACAUGCAGUAACUAAAAAAAAAAGGAGUCUGUUAGAUGUACAGUCAUGCAUCCCUUCAUGAGGGGAUAUGUUCUGAGAAAUGGUCGUUAGGUGCUUUUGUCGCUGUGUGAAGAUCAUGGAGUACACUUACACAAACCUAGAUGGUAUAGCCUACCGCCGACCCACGCUCUAUGGUACUGAUCUUAUGGGACCACCGUUGUAUACGUGGCCUGUCAUUGACUGAAACGUUGUCAUGUGGCGCGUGACUGUAUUAUGAUUGUGAUAAAAUUCCAAUUUUCAAAUUCAGAUUUAGUUACAUUUCUCUGUUUCUCUAUUGAGUUUGCAUUUCAUAUCUAUCUGUGCAGUACUGUAAGUUAGGCAUCUCUGUGCAAAGUUUAUACAUGUUCCGAAGAAAGUGGCUUUCAUGGGGAUGUCGCUGGGAACUGUUAUUUUUUAUUGCGUGGACUAUUUAGGAUUUUAUAUGUAUAAAGUGCCAUACAAUUCCAUCAGUGGUUAUUCUCAUAAAUAAUUUCAUGACUUGGUUUAUUAUUGCUAUAUCCAUUUUAUAGAUGGUAAUACAAAGGAAUGGAUUACAGGGGAGUUGAAAUUAGAACUUACAAUCACAAAAGUUUCCCAGACUGUUAUUUAGUUUAAACUGUAGACUGCAAAUGUGUCUCCGUGUGUCAAGUAUCUGAUAAACAGUGAAAUAUCUGGGAACUUGGCAUCUCUGGGGCUGUGUGUUUGUAAAGGAAAAAUGAGAAGAUGCGAAUCAAUCACACAAUGUUAUGGAGAGAAAAAUCCCUGUAGUAUAGAAACCGUGGGUCCUGUUGGCUCAAUGUUCUUUCCUGGCAGGCUGAAAUCCGCUGGAUCAUUGCUCAACUUGAGUUUGUUUUCGUAAACAUCACUAUCAUAUCUGUUACAGUGCCAAGAAUAGCUGCCUUCCACAUUCUUCUUGUAAUUAUGAUUCCAUUCCUGAAAACGUGUCUAUCAGAUUCUUAGUGGUCAUCUCAAGAUCGUACUGCUGUGACCUCAGAGAACCAGGUUUGGAACAAGAGAGUCUAUCUGUACAAACUUCCAAUGAACUGAGUGGGGGUAUCUUGACAAUUCUGUUCCAUUUGUCCAUGGCCCUUAACAUUGGCUUUACAAAGUUUAUUCUAAACUGAAUGAGCUGGGAGGGUCAGUGUGAAUUCUUGUGCAGAAGGUGGGAGAGAUUCCUCAUGGCCUCCCUCAGACAGUGCAGUAGCAGAGAUGGCCAAUAAUAACAUAACAUAACAUAAAUAGGGCUCUUGCCAGUCAAGUCCUAGUAGGACGCGGGACCCUCAGUUUUUCCUCUCUAUAGGGAAUAAGCAACCUUGAUUCUAGUCCUGUGAGAACUGUUUUGGACUUCGGACUACCAGAACUGUAAGAUAUGAUGUCACCAAGCUUGUCCUCAUCCGUCACAGCAGCAAUAGGAAACUAAUAUAGGCACUUUUUGCCUUCAGGGGCUCUUUCCUCCAUUAACAAAAUAUUAAAAUUGUAUUUUACGAUUAUGUUGAUGCAAAGAUGAAUGUAUUAGUAUUAGAUAUUAAUACAUUCUUUGACCUAAAAGUUCCCUUUUCCUUCUGAUUCUAAAAGAAAUUAGAACAUUUUUGUGGGCACCUAAAAGUGCAGUGGGCUCUGGGCACUGGGUCACAUGUGCCUGAGGGGCAGCUGACUGCCUCUGGGCAUGUCCGUCCAAAUCUUCCCCACGGCUCCCCUCCUGUGGAUCCAGUGCAGCUGACAGGAUGCCAGCCGAGAGGUUUCAGAGACACUAGAUUCUUAUUUUGUUGUCUAAUAUCUUGGUGUUUAAAUGGGGAAAAAUUUUACACUGGUGAGGAUACAUAUUCGAGCAGGAAGAAACUAUUCAAAGUGUCUCUCAAGUCACAUGACAUCAGUGUAGCCCCCUGUAUACACAAUAAACACACAAAAAUUCUUGUUGUGUGAAGAACUGUGAAAAAAUUCUUGUCUUUUAGUCCUGUUCCCUGGAAUAUUUCACCUGAUCAAUAUAUCUUUCAUCACUUCUGUUGCAAUAAAAGAUAAAAUGGAUUAUGGUUAAAAUUUGAGGACAGAUGUAAUAAUAUUAAUAUUCCUUAUGUUGAAAUAGCAUCCAAAGUUUGCAGAAAACUUCCAUGUGCAUCAUCUCUUUUGAUGACCUGUGAAGUCAUUUACGAUCUUAUGAGGAAAAUAUUUUAUAAUAUACUUAUAUAAAAAUAUAAAUAGUAAUGGUGAUUUUAAUUUUAGAUAAGCUAUUUGUCAUUUAUAAUACCAAGAAAGAAGAGUUAUCUAUCUGACUUUGGGCACUUUAUAAUUUGGCCUAUGAUCUCAUAUGGAGGCAAAAAUCCAAAAAAAAUUUGAACUCCUUAGUACACACACACACACACACACACACACACAUAUAUAUAAGUUUCCACACUUUGCCUCUGUGAAAAAUGAUAUAUUUCAAGCUUGUGACUACAAGCGUUAAUGCUGUGAGUUGGGGAUUACAACAUACCUCAUUGACUGUUUCCACUUCUCUGACAGUUAGAAGCCAGAAAGGCAUAAUUUCUAGCUAAAAAGCAAAGUUAGGUUGAGGGAAGUUCAGAGACAUGGUGAAGGAACCUGUGACUCCAGGGCCUGGCUGCUUAUGGAGCCCACAAGGGUAAAAAGGACCACAUUCCUGAAUGAUGAUCCUCAUUCAGGAUCUGGAGAGUCUGCUCUAAUUUGGCACUGUUCUGGAAAAGGCUACAUCGAAAAAGAUUCAUUUCUAGAGAUUUUCAGUAAAGUAGCCAAUUUCUGCUCAACUCAGUGAGGCCAUUUCUGGCUGGUGGUGGGUUCUUUCUGUCAUUGUGGGGCUUGCCUGAGAGUAAAGAAGAAUAUCUUCACUCCUACUGCUUCUGACUUCAUAUAUGUGCCAUCCACACGUGCUCGUAUUCACACACGCACACCAGCACCCAGGUCUUUAUACCUGCCUUUCACACGAAUUGUGUGAGCUUGUUCACAAGACUUCAAAUGUCCUAG